UACGUAGGGGGGCAAGCGUUGUCCGGAAUCAUUGGGCGUAAAGCGCGUGUAGGCGGCCUUGUAAGUCCGUUCUGAAAGCUCGGGGCUCAACCCCGGGAGGCGGAUGGAUACUGCAGGGCUCGAGUACGGAAGAGGCGAGUGGAAUUCCCGGUGUAGCGGUGAAAUGCGCAGAUAUCGGGAGGAACACCAAUGGCGAAGGCAGCUCGCUGGGACGUUACUGACGCUGAGACGCGAAAGCGUGGGGAGCAAACAGG
rnacentral:rRNA from 1 species